CUGACCUCAAAUCAGGUAGGAUU
rnacentral:rRNA from 1 species